rnacentral:rRNA from 1 species
UACGGAGGGGGCUAGCGUUGUUCGGCAUUACUGGGCGUAAAGCGUACGUAGGCGGCUUUGUAAGUUAGAGGUGAAAGCCUGGUGCUCAACACCAGAACUGCCUUUAAGACUGCAUCGCUUGAAUCGCGGAGAGGUGAGUGGAAUUCCGAGUGUAGAGGUGAAAUGCGUAGAUAUUCGGAAGAACACCAGUGGCGAAGGCGGCUCGCUGGACGCGUAUUGACGCUGAGGUACGAAAGCGUGGGGAGCAAACAGG